AGCCUGAACCAGCCAUCCCGCGUGAAGGAAGACGGCCCUAUGGGUUGUAAACUUCGUUUUCUGCACCAGAAUGGGCCUUACGUGAAGGUUUUGACGGUAGUGCAGGAAUAAGCAUCGGCUAACUCCGUGCCAGCAGCCGCGGUAAUACGGAGGAUGCAAGCGUUAUCCGGAUUCAUUGGGUUUAAAGGGUACGUAGGUGGCCCAGUAAGUCAGUGGUGAAAUCCUGCCGCUUAACGGUAGAACUGCCAUUGAUACUGCUGGGCUUGAGUACAGUUGAGGUAGGCGGAAUGUGUAGUGUAGCGGUGAAAUGCUUAGAUAUUACACAGAACCCCGAUUGCGAAGGCAGCUUACUAAACUGUAACUGACACUGAGGUACGAAAGCGUGGGGAGCGAACAGGAUUAGAUACCCUGGUAGUCCACGCCGUAAACGAUGCUCACUCGCUGUAUGCGAUACACAGUAUGCGGCCAAGCGAAAGUAUUAAGUGAGCCACCUGGGGAGUACGUUGGCAACAGUGAAACUCAAAGGAAUUGACGGGGGCCCGCACAAGCGGAGGAACAUGUGGUUUAAUUCGAUGAUACGCGAGGAACCUUACCUGGGCUUAAAUGCAGGACGACAGGCGUCGAAAGAUGCUUUUCUUCGGACAGUUUGCAAGGUGCUGCAUGGUUGUCGUCAGCUCGUGCCGUGAGGUGUCGGGUUAAGUCCCAUAACGAGCGCAACCCUUACCGUUAGUUACCAUCAGUUAGGCUGGGGACUCUAGCGGGACUGCCACCGUAAGGUGAGAGGAAGGUGGGGAUGACGUCAAAUCAGCACGGCCCUUAUGUCCAGGGCUACACACGUGUUACAAUGGCCAGUACAAAGGGCAGCUACCUGGUGACAGGAUGCUAAUCUCUAAAGCUGGUCUCAGUUCGGAUCGAAGUCUGCAACCCGACUUCGUGAAGCUGGAUUCGCUAGUAAUCGCGCAUCAGCCAUGGCGCGGUGAAUACGUUCCCGGGCCUUGUACACACCGCCCGUCAAACCAUGGAAGCUGGGGGUACCUGAAGUCUGUGACCGCAAGGAGCGGCCUAGGGUAAAACUAGUGACUGGGGUUAAGUCGUAACAAGGUAGCCGUACCGGAAGGUGUGGCUG
rnacentral:rRNA from 1 species